rnacentral:rRNA from 1 species
UACAGGGGGGGCAAGCGUUGUUCGGAAUUACUGGGCGUAAAGGGCGCGUAGGCGGCCCGAUAAGUCAAAGGUGAAAUCCCUCGGCUCAACUGAGGAACUGCCUUUGAAACUGUCGGGCUUGAGGCCGGGAGGGGGUAGCGGAAUUCCCAGUGUAGCGGUGAAAUGCGUAGAUAUUGGGAGGAACACCAGUGGCGAAGGCGGCUACCUGGACCGGAACUGACGCUGAUGCGCGAAAGCGUGGGGAGCAAACAGG